rnacentral:lncRNA from 1 species
UAGGCAAGCACCAUGGUCUUGUAGCGGAUGCGAGCUUCAACUGGAAGCCAGUGGAGAGAGCGGAGGAGCGGGGUGACGUGAGAGAACUUGGGAAGGUUGAACACCAGACGGGCUGCGGCGUUCUGGAUGAGUUGUAGGGGUUUAAUGGCACAGGCAGGGAGCCCAGCCAACAGCGAGUUGCCGUAAUCCAGACGGGAGAUGACAAGUGCCUGGAUUAGGACCUGCGCCGCUUCCUGUGUGAGGCAGGGUCGUACUCUGCGAAUGUUGUAGAGCAUGAACCUACAGGAUCGGGUCAGCCCCUUGAUGUUAGUGGAGAACGACAGGGUGUUGUCCAGGGUCACGCCAAGGUUCUUAGCACUCUGGGAGGAGGACACAAGGGAGUUGUCAACCGUGAUGGCGAGAUCAUGGAACGGGCAGUCCUUCCCCGGGAGGAAGAGCAGCUCCGUCUUGCCGAGGUUCAGCUUGAGGUGGUGAUCCGUCAUCCACACUGAUAUGUCUGCCAGACAUGCAGAGAUGCGAUUCGCCACCUGGUUAUCAGAAGGGGGAAAGGAGAAGAUUAAUUGUGUGUCGUCUGCAUAGCAAUGAUAGGAGAGACCAUGUGAGGAUAUGACAGAGCCAAGUGACUUGGUGUAUAGCGAGAAUAGGAGAGGGCCUAGAACAGAGCCCUGGGGGACACCAGUGGUGAGAGCACGUAGUGCGGAACCAACCUUACUAUGAGAUCAUCUGAGCCACAGGUGGAGACUGGAUUAGGUGUGAGCAGUGCAGGAGGUGGGCUCAUGAGUUGUGCUCCAAUUUGAGUGGGAAUAGCUUUAUUUGGGGGGCUCCUGAGUGGUGCAGCGGUCUAAGGCAUUGCAAUGCUGGAGGCAUCACCACAGACCGUGGUUCAAGUCCAGGCAGUAUCACAACCGGACGUGAUUGGGAGUCCCAUAGGGCAGUGCACAAUUGGCCCAGCGUCGCCAGGGUUAGGCUUUGGCCGGGGUAGGCCGUCAUUAUAAAUAAUAAUUUCUUCUUAACUGACUUGUCUAGUUAAAUAAAGGCUAAAUAAAAGUCUAAAAUUAAAAAUGUGUGACCUACAGGUACAAAUUAGAAUCGUGCAAUAGCAGAGCAUAAGAGAGUUGCC